rnacentral:rRNA from 2 species
CAGUCGAACGACUCUGGUAUUGAUUGGUGCUUGCAUCAUGAUUUACAUUUGAGUGAGUGGCGAACUGGUGAGUAACACGUGGGAAACCUGCCCAGAAGCGGGGGAUAACACCUGGAAACAGAUGCUAAUACCGCAUAACAACUUGGACCGCAUGGUCCGAGCUUGAAAGAUGGCUUCGGCUAUCACUUUUGGAUGGUCCCGCGGCGUAUUAGCUAGAUGGUGGGGUAACGGCUCACCAUGGCAAUGAUACGUAGCCGACCUGAGAGGGUAAUCGGCCACAUUGGGACUGAGACACGGCCCAAACUCCUACGGGAGGCAGCAGUAGGGAAUCUUCCACAAUGGACGAAAGUCUGAUGGAGCAACGCCGCGUGAGUGAAGAAGGGUUUCGGCUCGUAAAACUCUGUUGUUAAAGAAGAACAUAUCUGAGAGUAACUGUUCAGGUAUUGACGGUAUUUAACCAGAAAGCCACGGCUAACUACGUGCCAGCAGCCGCGGUAAUACGUAGGUGGCAAGCGUUGUCCGGAUUUAUUGGGCGUAAAGCGAGCGCAGGCGGUUUUUUAAGUCUGAUGUGAAAGCCUUCGGCUCAACCGAAGAAGUGCAUCGGAAACUGGGAAACUUGAGUGCAGAAGAGGACAGUGGAACUCCAUGUGUAGCGGUGAAAUGCGUAGAUAUAUGGAAGAACACCAGUGGCGAAGGCGGCUGUCUGGUCUGUAACUGACGCUGAGGCUCGAAAGUAUGGGUAGCAAACAGGAUUAGAUACCCUGGUAGUCCAUACCGUAAACGAUGAAUGCUAAGUGUUGGAGGGUUUCCGCCCUUCAGUGCUGCAGCUAACGCAUUAAGCAUUCCGCCUGGGGAGUACGGCCGCAAGGCUGAAACUCAAAGGAAUUGACGGGGGCCCGCACAAGCGGUGGAGCAUGUGGUUUAAUUCGAAGCUACGCGAAGAACCUUACCAGGUCUUGACAUACUAUGCAAAUCUAAGAGAUUAGACGUUCCCUUCGGGGACAUGGAUACAGGUGGUGCAUGGUUGUCGUCAGCUCGUGUCGUGAGAUGUUGGGUUAAGUCCCGCAACGAGCGCAACCCUUAUUAUCAGUUGCCAGCAUUAAGUUGGGCACUCUGGUGAGACUGCCGGUGACAAACCGGAGGAAGGUGGGGAUGACGUCAAAUCAUCAUGCCCCUUAUGACCUGGGCUACACACGUGCUACAAUGGAUGGUACAACGAGUUGCGAACUCGCGAGAGUAAGCUAAUCUCUUAAAGCCAUUCUCAGUUCGGAUUGUAGGCUGCAACUCGCCUACAUGAAGUCGGAAUCGCUAGUAAUCGCGGAUCAGCAUGCCGCGGUGAAUACGUUCCCGGGCCUUGUACACACCGCCCGUCACACCAUGAGAGUUUGUAACACCCAAAGUCGGUGGGG